rnacentral:rRNA from 1 species
GUGCCAGCCGCCGCGGUAAUUCCAGCUCCAAUAGCGUAUAUUAAAGUUGUUGCAGUUAAAAAGCUCGUAGUUGAACCUUGGGCCUGGCUGGCCGGUCCGCCUCACCGCGUGUACUGGUCCGGCCGGGCCUUUCCUUCUGGGGAACCUCAUGCCCUUCACUGGGCGUGUUGGGGAACCAGGACUUUUACUUUGAAAAAAUUAGAGUGUUCAAAGCAGGCCUUUGCUCGAAUACAUUAGCAUGGAAUAAUAGAAUAGGACGUGUGGUUCUAUUUUGUUGGUUUCUAGGACCGCCGUAAUGAUUAAUAGGGAUAGUCGGGGGCAUCAGUAUUCAAUCGUCAGAGGUGAAAUUCUUGGAUUGAUUGAAGACUAACUACUGCGAAAGCAUUUGCCAAGGAUGUUUUCAUUAAUCAGUGAACGAAAGUUAGGGGAUCGAAGACGAUCAGAUACCGUCGUAGUCUUAACCAUAAACUAUGCCGACUAGGGAUCGGACGGUGUUAGUAUUUUGACCCGUUCGGCACCUUACGAGAAAUCAAAGUUUUUGGGUUCUGGGGGGAGUAUGGUCGCAAGGCUGAAACUUAAAGAAAUUGACGGAAGGACACCACCAGGCGUGGAGCCUGCGGCUUAAUUUGACUCAACACGGGGAAACUCACCAGGUCCAGACACAAUAAGGAUUGACAGAUUGAGAGCUCUUUCUUGAUUUUUGUGGGUGGUGGUGCAUGGCCGUUCUUAGUUGGUGGAGUGAUUUGUCUGCUUAAUUGCGAUAACGAACGAGACCUACUGCUAAAUAGCAGGGCCCGCUUGGCGGGUCGCGGCUCUAGAGGGACUAUCGGCUCAGCGAUGCAGUUGAGCAAUAACAGUCUGUGAUGCCUA